rnacentral:rRNA from 1 species
GACGAACGCUGGCGGCGUGCUUAACACAUGCAAGUCGAACGGUGAUCUUGAGAGCUUGCUCUUGGGUGAUCAGUGGCGAACGGGUGAGUAACACGUGAGUAACCUGUCCCUGACUCUGGAAUAACUUCGGGAAACCGAAGCUAAUACCGGAUAUGACACAGAGCCGCAUGGUUUCUGUGUGGAAAGUUUUUCGGUUGGGGAUGGACUCGCGGCCUAUCAGCUUGUUGGUGAGGUAAUGGCUCACCAAGGCGACGACGGGUAGCCGGCCUGAGAGGGCGACCGGCCACACUGGGACUGAGACACGGCCCAGACUCCUACGGGAGGCAGCAGUGGGGAAUAUUGCACAAUGGGCGAAAGCCUGAUGCAGCGACGCCGCGUGAGGGAUGAAGGCCUUCGGGUUGUAAACCGUCUUUCAGUAGGAGAAGCGCAAGUGACGGUACCUACAGAGAAGCACCGGCUAACUACGUGCCAGCAGCCGCGGUAAAGUGUGUGUACG